GGAGUCACGCCAGAAAUCUUACCCGGAGAGACAGCAGAAUGAAGGUCAGGCUGAAGACCUUACCAGACAAGCUGAGAGGUGGUGCAUGGCCGUCGUCAGCUCGUGCCGUGAGAUGUCCUGUUAAGUCAGGUAACGAGCGAGAUCCCCGCCACUAGUUGCUAUUAUUACUCUCAGGAGUAGUGGGGCGAAUUAGUGGGACCGCCACAGUUAAAGUGGAGGAAGGAAGGGGCCACGGCAGGUCAGUAUGCCCCGAAACUCUGGGGCCACACGCGGGCUGCAAUGGUAGUGACAAUAAGCUCCUAACUCGAAAGAGAGAGGCAAUCCCAAAACACUACCACAGUUAUGACUGAGGGCUGUAACUCGCCCUCACGAAUAUGGAAUCCCUAGUAACUGCGUGUCAUUACCGCGCGGUGAAUACGUCCCUGCUCCUUGCACACACCGCCCGUCGUUUCAUCGAAGUUUGCUUUUAGCGAGGUGAUGUUUUAUUGACAUUAUCGAACUUGAGGUAAGUGACGAGGGAAAAGUCGUAACAAGGUGACCGUAAGGGAACCUGCGGUCGGAUCA
rnacentral:rRNA from 1 species